rnacentral:rRNA from 1 species
AGAGUUUGAUCCUGGCUCAGAUUGAACGCUGGCGGAACGCUUUACACAUGCAAGUCGAACGGUAACGCGGUGAGAAGCUUGCUUCUCACCGGCGACGAGUGGCGAACGGGUGAGUAAUACAUCGGAACGUGUCCGCUCGUGGGGGACAACCAGCCGAAAGGUUGGCUAAUACCGCAUGAGUUCUACGGAAGAAAGAGGGGGACCCGCAAGGGCCUCUCGCGAGCGGAGCGGCCGAUGACUGAUUAGCCGGUUGGUGAGGUAACGGCUCACCAAAGCAACGAUCAGUAGCUGGUCUGAGAGGACGACCAGCCACACUGGGACUGAGACACGGCCCAGACUCCUACGGGAGGCAGCAGUGGGGAAUUUUGGACAAUGGGCGCAAGCCUGAUCCAGCUAUUCCGCGUGUGGGAUGAAGGCCCUCGGGUUGUAAACCACUUUUGUAGAGAACGAAAAGACACCUUUUAAAAAAGGGUGUUGCUGACGGUACUCUAAGAAUAAGCACCGGCUAACUACGUGCCAGCAGCCGCGGUAAUACGUAGGGUGCGAGCGUUAAUCGGAAUUACUGGGCGUAAAGGGUGCGCAGGCGGUUGAGUAAGACAGAUGUGAAAUCCCCGAGCUUAACUCGGGAAUGGCAUAUGUGACUGCUCGACUAGAGUGUGUCAGAGGGAGGUGGAAUUCCACGUGUAGCAGUGAAAUGCGUAGAUAUGUGGAAGAACACCGAUGGCGAAGGCAGCCUCCUGGGACAUAACUGACGCUCAGGCACGAAAGCGUGGGGAGCAAACAGGAUUAGAUACCCUGGUAGUCCACGCCCUAAACGAUGUUAACUAGUUGUUGGGAAGUAAAAUUCUCAGUAACGCAGCCAACGCGAGAAGUUAACCGCCUGGGAAGUACGGUCGCAAGACUAAAACUCAAAGGAAUUGACGGGGACCCGCACAAGCGGUGGAUGAUGUGGAUUAAUUCGAUGCAACGCGAAAAACCUUACCUACCCUUGACAUGUCAGGAAGCUCUUGUAAUGAGAGCGUGCCCGCAAGGGAGCCUGAACACAGGUGCUGCAUGGCUGUCGUCAGCUCGUG